rnacentral:rRNA from 1 species
UACGUAGGCAGCGAGCGUUGUUCGGAGUUACUGGGCGUAAAGGGUGUGUAGGCGGUUUUCUAAGUUUGGUGUGAAAUCUCCCGGCUUAACUGGGAGGGUGCGCCGAAAACUGGAAGGCUUGAGUAUGGGAGAGGUAAGCGGAAUUCCUGGUGUAGCGGUGAAAUGCGUAGAUAUCAGGAGGAACACCUGCGGUGUAGACGGCUUACUGGACCAUAACUGACGCUGAGGCACGAAAGCGUGGGUAGCAAACAGG